rnacentral:rRNA from 1 species
GCUUGUCUCAAAGAUUAAGCCAUGCAUGUCUAAGUACAAGCCGCUAGUUCGGCGAAACCGCGAAUGGCUCAAUAAAUCAGUUAUGGUUCCUUAGAUCCACUCCAUCCUACUUGGAUAACUGUGGUAAUUCUAGAGCUAAUACAUGCACUCGAGCCUCGACCGAGGCCCCGGCAACGGGGUCGCGGAAGAGGUGCUUUUAUUAGAUAAAAAACCAAUGCCCUUCGGGGCUCUUUGGUGAUUCAUGAUAACUUAACGGAUCGCAUGGCCUUGCGCCGGCGACGGUUCAUUCAAAUUUCUGCCCUAUCAACUUUCGAUGGUAAGGUAUUGGCUUACCAUGGUUUCAACGGGUAACGGGGAAUUAGGGUUCGAUUCCGGAGAGGGAGCCUGAGAAACGGCUACCACAUCCAAGGAAGGCAGCAGG